AACGAACGUUGGCGGCGUGGAUUAGGCAUGCAAGUCGAACGAGCUUCAGGUAGCAAUACCGGGAGCAAGUGGCGAAAGGGGCAGUAAUGCAUGGGUAAUUUACCCCGGGGACGUGGAUAGCUAUCCUAACGGGUAGGUAAUACACGGCGAUUCGGCGGAGGGGGCAUCUCCUUGCCGGGAAAUGAAUUUCGCCUCGGGAGAAGCUCAUGUCGUAUUAGGUAGUUGGGCGGGGUAAUGGCCCACCAAGCCUCAGAUGCGUAGCGGGU
rnacentral:rRNA from 1 species